AGUGAACGCUGGCGGUAGGCCUAACACAUGCGAGUCGAACGGCAGCACAGUAAGAGCUUGCUCUUACGGGUGGCGAGUGGCGGACGGGUGAGGCAUACAUCGGAAUCUACUUUUUCGUGGGGGAUAACGUAGGGAAACUUACGCUAAUACCGCAUACGACCUACGGGUGAAAGCAGGGGAUCUUCGGACCUUGCGCGAUUGAAUGAGCCGAUGUCGGAUUAGCUAGUUGGCGGGGUAAAGGCCCACCAAGGCGACGAUCCGUAGCUGGUCUGAGAGGAUGAUCAGCCACACUGGAACUGAGACACGGUCCAGACUCCUACGGGAGGCAGCAGUGGGGAAUAUUGGACAAUGGGCGCAAGCCUGAUCCAGCCAUACCGCGUGGGUGAAGAAGGCCUUCGGGUUGUAAAGCCCUUUUGUUGGGAAAGAAAAGCAGCAGGUUAAUACCCCGCUGUUCUGACGGUACCCAAAGAAUAAGCAACGGCUAACUUCGUG
rnacentral:rRNA from 1 species